rnacentral:rRNA from 1 species
GACGAACGCUGGCGGCGUGCUUAACACAUGCAAGUCGAACGGAAAGGCCCUGCUUUUGUGGGUUGCUCGAGUGGCGAACGGGUGAGUAACACGUGAGUAACCUGCCCUUGACUUUGGGAUAACUUCAGGAAACUGGGGCUAAUACCGGAUAGGAGCUCCUGCUGCAUGGUGGGGGUUGGAAAGUUUCGGCGGUUGUGGAUGGACUCGCGGCUUAUCAGCUUGUUGGUGGGGUAGUUGCUUACCAAGGCUUUGACGGGUAGCCGGCCUGAGAGGGUGACCGGCGACAUGGGGACUGAGAGACGGCCCAGAAUCCUACGGGAGGCAGCAGUGGGGAAUAUUGCACAAUGGGCGGAAGCCUGAUGCAGAAACGCCGCGUGCGGGAUGACGGCCUUCGGGUUGUAAACCGCUUUCGAAUGUGACGAAGCGUGAGUGACGGUAAUGGGUAAAGAAGCACCGGCUAACUACGUG